UGCCAAUGGAGGUCAAAGAACACACCAAGGAUUGAAUCGUUCCUCCAAAAGCAAGGAAAUUCACACCCUAAAAGAUAUACUUAUCCGGAAGUGAGAAGGAUGACCAGCUCUUUUGCUCACAAGCUUGGCCAAGGUGGCUUUGGAGCUGUCUACAGGGGCAAACUCCCUGAUGGCCGUGAGAUAGCAGUGAAGAUGCUCAAGGACACCCAGGGUGAUGGGGAGGAAUUCAUGAAUGAGGUUGCUAGCAUUAGUAGAACCUCUCAUGUCAAUGUUGUCACCCUCUUAGGGUUCUGCUUGCAAGGUUCAAAACGAGCUCUCAUCUACGAGUAUAUGACCAAUGGCUCACUUGAGAGGUACACUUUUGGCAGCAACUCUGCUCAUGAUCCGAACACCCUAAGCUGGGAAAGACUCUUUGACAUUGUUCGUGGCAUUGCUCGAGGCCUCGAGUACCUUCAUCUCGGGUGUAACACUCGCAUCAUACAUUUCGAUAUCAAGCCUCAAAACAUUCUGCUGGAUAGAGACUUCUGUCCAAAGAUAUCUGAUUUUGGGUUAGCAAAACUGUGCCGGCAGAAGGAUAGUAAAAUCUCUAUAUGUGGAGCAAGAGGAACUGUAGGGUAUAUAGCACCAGAAGUGUUCUCAAGACAAUAUGGAGCAGUGAGCAGUAAGUCGGACGUCUACGGUUACGGGAUGGUGGUUCUUGAGAUGGUUGGAGCAAGGAAACAAACCAGUGUUAGUACGGAAAAUAGCACCAGGUAUUUUCCUGAGUGGAUAUACGACAACUUGGAUGAGUUCUGUGGCACCGCCGGCGAGAUUACCAGUAACGGUGCCACGGAGCUGGUGAGGAAGAUGACUCUCAUUGGGCUAUGGUGCAUACAGUUCACACCCACAAAUCGGCCAGCUAUGAGCGAAGUCCUUGACAUGUUGGAAAGCAAUAUCGAGGACUUGUGUCUUCCACCAAAAGCAUGUUGAUGUAAAACCAGAGUGGUAUAA
rnacentral:rRNA from 1 species